rnacentral:lncRNA from 1 species
UCCACCCUAACCUAAAAGACCUAACACACAUAUACGGAUACACGAUGGAGAAAAAACACACAUAGAGACGCUGGGAGAAGGCUGCGCAGCUGGGGCUGCUUCUUCACAAAAACACACAUACACAACACACUAUAGAUAGAGAAUGCCUAGAAAAGCCGACAAGGAGAAGUUGCGCAACAACUGCACAAUACAAACGACCCCCCUUUCCUUUGAACUUGAUCUUCUCCAAACAACCCCCUGUUCUUUAUAUUCUUGAAGCAGCCAUCCAUGGCUUUUGGCUGAAUGUAAAAUAAGACCCCACCAGCCGACGUUGGUUCCGAUUUGAGCCCUGUUUCCAUUCGAGGUUGAAAGUCGAGGCGCAAUAUCAUUUUCAUUUCUGGUCUGUGCAAGGUUCGAACCCGGGUUCGCGAUCUUUGGUGGUUCUGUUUUUCUUUCUCGCAAGGCUUCUACUCACAGAUUUCAUAUGUUGAUAUUAAAGAGAAUCCUCUUCAAACAGGUUUGUCUCUUUACUGGUUUAUUUGUGUUAAUCAUGUAUUGGUAAUCAUUCAAAUUUUGAUCAUAUGAGUUGAAGAAAAGAUCGUACAAUUUGGUUAUUAGAAACAAUUCCAAUUGAUUAAGUUACUGCCGCCUCUUUGGCUUAACCCCCUUUAUAAAACGAUUAGAUCUUAUGGGAUUAGUAAGAUGACUGGUUGUAUUAGUUUUCUUUUAUUUAAAUGUUAUUAGUCUUACUAGAACUCUCUGUUGCAAUUUCACUGAAGCCUUCGAUGAUCUCCUUUUAAUCAAGUGAACAUGGAGUAUAUUUUUAAAAACAUGAUUUGUGCUCCUUUCCCAUUCACUCAAUGUUUACUAUUUGGUGUGUGAAUUGAUAAAUAUUUAAAGAAGGGUCUGUAGAGUUCAACUUUAGAAAUUAACAGAAUUGGAUAAGGAACUAAGGCUAUACAUAAUCUUUUAAUGGCUUCUCCGAAUAUUUUGGUUCAUUUAGUUCGGUAUUCUGUUAUUUUACUUGGAUGUCUAUUCAUUUAAUUUUCAUAGAAUGGCCUGAGUGUUUAUUCCCGGAUUGGCUUGAAUUUAGAUAUUAUAAAUGACCUUUAUAGUUUGCGUUAGACAUGAUUAAUAAACAAUCGUGAUUGUUGACAUGUUUGCGUGACAUAAUUAUGAUUCUUUAAGGAUAAAUCGCGGUGUUUCGUGCUAAAUAAAAUCUCAAAAUGCACGGACCUCAUUUGUUUAAUCUUGAAUUUAUCCUUAGAUUCCGAGGCGUGCCAUUUAGCGAAUUCUAUGGCCCUCGCACAGCGUGAACGCAUAGUUGCUUUAGGCGCGUGUCUAAUAACAUUACUUUCCUAAAUUUGGGUGCACAUUUAUGUGACCAAAAUCUGAAUCCCAACGAUAUUGAAAUAUUUCAAAACUACGGGUGCAUUUAUGUGACUUGGUUCGAGGCAUGUUUUAAUGAUGUUGCAAUUCUCUUUAAAACAAUAAUAACAAAGUGAUUAAAAGAUUCAAAAAUGCACAUAGGUUCAUAAUUGUAUAAAAUCAAAUAAUUUAAGCCAAAUAUAACAGUUGAGCGACCGUGCUAAAACCACGGAACCCGAGAAUGCCUAACACCUUCUGCCCGGUUACCAAAAUUUCAUACUCGAAUUUUUUGUUCGCCGACUGUUAAACAAAGUCAUUCUUUCCUCGAUUGUAGAUGCUAACCGGAGACUUGGGAAACCAUAAAUCUACCAAGUGGCGACUCUAAAAUUCUUUCAAAAUUGAAUCCCGUAUCGAUUGUCCUUUUAUUGGAAAAACUCCCUUAUCUACGCCAUUCGCCGCGUUGUUGAUAGCCAAAAGGGAGGUGUGACGGUGUAUAUUAUCUGUUUCACCGUGGGUAUGAUGAUGUGCUUUGGUUCCAGACAUCAAAUGGUACGUGGUUGUCGCUUUCGCGUGUAGUGACUUGAGGUGUUUGUUAGGAUCGGGAAUUUCAACGAAGCUAUGUGGAGAUAUAACCUUGUAGGUUAGAUUCAUGUGCUCUAUUUUUGUUAUGUGAUACAAGUUCUCAGCCUUGUGGUGAUAGUACUGGUGAUCUUGGGGGACAACUUUUUCAUUUGGGUUAUUUUCAUGAAUUGAGCAUGUUUGGAUCGUCGCUUAUUAGUGUGUGUAUUAUGCUAGUUGUGGAUUAGGCCUAUAUUUAUGUGUCAUAUCACCAGAGUGGUGUGUUGGAUUAGAGGAGAUCAUUGGGAUCAUUAAUGAAUACGAACAGAUUCUAUUUCAACAUGUUGGAAGGAUAAUAUCGAGGUUCGGCUCGGAAUUUGCUAUGGUAUUUUCCAAAGGAGAAGCAGCUUCAUGAAUGGUUGAUUUGAGAAUGUUAUGGUUUAUUGCGUGUUUCAUUUAUCAUUGGCAGUAUAUGAAAGUGAUGGAAUGAGACUUUAGAUGAUAAGAGGUUUUCUACCAGUAUUCGGUUGUUGUGGGCAACUGCUAUGGAUAGAAGUUAUCACUAUGAGUGUUUGAGUUAUGUGGUAUAUCUUGGAAUUGCUCCCAAGGUUUUGGGCAUGGGUUAUUACAGUUGGUUCGGGUCUAUUCUGAGUAUAGGUGUGAGGUUUUGAUCGUAUUGAUUGUUUCAGAAGUGAAAAUCUAAUUCUAUGGCUUAUGGGCUAGAUUAGAUUGUGCGAUUUUAGUUGCAGUGUGUUAUCGGACUUAUAUGAGAUAGGGUGACAUGGGAUUACCCCUGGGUUUAUGCACGGUAAGGUUAUUCAGCAAUUGGUUGGCUUUUAGAACAACUCUAGGCACGUUCGAGGACAAACAUAUGUUUAAGUAGGGGGAGGAUGUAACGACCCGACCGACGUUUUGAGCUUUUGAACUUUGAUCGCUAGUUCUUGGGCAUGACUUUCCGUGUGUGAUGUAUUUUCACUGAGGUAAAUCGUUGGUUUUGGUUUUCAUGGAAAUCAAAAUGAAUUUGAAGGAACAGUUCUCAACUAUAGCUCUGAAUUUGAACAUGUUGACCAAUAUUUGAAUUAUUUGUAUAAGAGAUUGGAUUUGAAUUUUUAUGAUAUAGUUAGCUCUGUUUUGUGAUUUAUGACCUAGGAGCGUGAUCGGAAUUAGUUUUGGAGGUCCGAAGUACAAUUUGACUUAAAUUGGUUAAGUUGAUUUUUUUGGCGACUUCUGAUUGAUAGGUGAGAUUUUGAUAAAGGGUUGAAAUGGAAUUCUAAGAGUUACAGUAGCUUCGUUAUAUUAUUUGGGAUGUGUGUGCAAAAUUUCAGGUCAUUCCGAUGUGGUUUGGUCGGGUUUUUGAUCGAACGUGUAUUUAAGAAGUUUUUGGAAAACUUACGCUUGAAUUCAAUGAGUUUUGGGUAAUUUGAUGUUGUUGUAGGUAUUUUGAUGAUUCGAACAACUUUGAAUAAGGUUUUAGGAUGUCUUGUUGCUUUUUAUUGAGGUCCCGGGUGCUUCGGGUGAGAUUCGGGUGGUCAGUCAAACCAUUUUUCAGUUUAAGGAAUUGCAGAAAAUCAGCCCAACAGUUGCAGGUAUUUUGGCCUUCCCGUUCACAAAGGGCUGAGUUCUUUGAGCUACGCGUUCGCGAGGUUCUCGGCCGCAUUUGUGAAGGAUAGAUAAGGGAUCUCAUCACAUUCACGAGUAGGUUACGCAAUCACAAAGAAGGAUUGUAGUCGGAUUAGUCCAAGGCGAUUUUAUUCAACGCGUUCGCGUGAAGGCUUCCGCAUUCGCAAAGGUUUAAGCGGAAUAGGCAUUUCUUUUGCAUCUCGUACGUCAUGGUCGUGCAACGGAAUUAUUGGUCAACGUAAUUUUUGUGCAUCACGAUCGCAGGGGGUUGACCGCGAUCGCAGAGAAGGAAGGGUAUGACCUGGCAGAAUGUUUUAAGUCACUUUAUCCGCAAUUUUGGGGCUCAUUUCGCCCAUUGUUGAUCAUUUUGAGAGCUUUGUGAGGGAAAUUAAAGAGGGAUUCAAGGGGAACCGAUUGGAGGUAAGAUUUUUGAACUUAAAACUUGUUUCUAUUGUGAAAUCUACCGAUAAAAUCAUGGAAAUUAAGCUAAAAAUGGAAGAACUAGGGCUUGGAAUUUUUUUGGACUUUUGAAUUAGGAUUUGAAGGACCAUUUAAGGCCGUAUUUAUGAACUUUUUGUAUGUAUGAACUCGUGGCAGGAGAAGGAAUGCGUAGAUGUAAAAAUUUCUAUGUUUCGAGAAGUGGGAUCGGGGCUCGAGUUUUGGUAAUUUUGGGAUUUGUGCUCGGUAUUGAUUGUUUUUGCUUGGGUUUUGUUCACUUAGAAUAUUGUGAUGUAUUCGUUCUGAUUUUUGAUAGAUUCGACGCGUGUGGAAGCUGAUUUGAGGGGCAAAGGCGUCGCGAGUUAGAGUAUUUCCAGUUCGAGGUGAGUUAUGAUUGUAAAUGAUGCUAUGAGGGUUUGGAACCCCAGAUCGCACAUCGUAGUGCUAUAUUAAGGUGAGACACACGAUUGAUGAUAAGUGUAGGGUCGUUUACUAUUGGGGAUUGUGACUCGGUCCAUCCCGAUUGAUGAUUUUACCGUGUAUUGACUUAAACUUAUUUGUUAUCAUUAUGAUUUGGGUUGAUUGCUAUAUUUGGGCUUCGUGCCAACUAUUUGAACCCGCCGGAGAUUUUUGUCACUAUUUCCUCACUAUAUUAAUUUAUUACUUGAACUCAGUCCUGUCGCUUUUCCACUGUUUUACAACUCAACAACUUUUACUCAGUUUUGAGACCUAAAUGAUGUUUCUAAAUGAUGUUUUGGGCUGAGAACUAUUGUUUUCCUAAUGCCCGAGGGCCUUGUGAUGAUUUUUCUGAUUGGGUGCGACCUACGGCCAAAUGUGAGGAUAUACUGAGUGAUAUGAGGACGAGGGCCUAAGACACAUUUAUAUGCCACAAGGUGGCUUGAGUUAUGUGAGGUCGAGAGCAGAGAGUUGAUGUAACGAGAUAGUUUGAUAUUGCGUUUGGGCCGUAAAGAGCCUCUCCGGAGUUUAUUCACUCCCAAUGAGCGCAAGUACUCAUUAUGAUUUGAGUGUGAUCCUGAGGGAAUGAUAUUGUUCUGAGAGUGAGCCCGAGGGGUUGAUGUUAUUCUGAGAGUGAGCCAGAAUGGCUGAUAUUGUUCUGAAAGUGAGACCGAGGGGCUGGUACUUUUCUGAGAUAUUGCCCUAGGGGCGAACCAUUAUGUGUUCAUCUUUCAUAUUUACUUGAGAUUUUACCUGUUAUAUUGUGGUAUUUGUGACCGAGGGACAGAUUUUCUAUGAUUAUCGGCACUAAAAGUUUCGCAUCCAUUUGCGUAACUGUUGAAAAGUUAUUUUCAAAAAGUGGUUUAAACUACUAAGAUAUUUUCUAAAGAUUUCACAGCUUCAGUGUUUUCUUCUCAAAGGGUUUUACACUGCUUCUAUACAUCAUCUUCAUUUGCUUUACGUGUUGUCUUACUGCUAAGUCAUAAUUUACCUUUAUUACUCACUAAGUUUGAGUACUCACAUUACUCCCUGCACCAUGUGUGAAGAUGCAAGUAUGUAUACACCCAGUAACGGGUUUUGGCUAAUCGGAGGCAGAGUUAUCAAAGUUUAGCAAGGUGGAUGCUAGCGUUUGCAGCACCACUUUUAUUCCUUUUCGUUAAUUAGUCCUGUUUUGUAUAUUUCAGACCUUGUAGUUGUAUAUAUACUCCAAUAGAUGCUUGUGGCUUGUGAUAACCUGGUAUCGGGAUGUGUUUUGGGCUAUUUUCGCAUAUUAUAAAAAAUCUUUUGCUUAGUUGGUGUUUAUCCAUUCAUACUUAAACUGCUUAUAACUAUGUAACUAUUUUAAAAAGGUGAUAUGGGUUAGUUGGCUGGCCUUGUCUUCACGAGAGGCGCUAUCACGACCAGAUCGGGGUUUGGGUCGUGACACAUUAGGUGCACGUUAUUCUUUUACUCAUACUAAACUUCUAUGCAUUUUUGUUGCAGAUGAACCUGUAUUUCUAGUCGCCUACUAUGCAUUGCAGCAUGGUUGAUAUAGACACUUAGGUGAACCUGUUUUUCUUUCCAGAUGAACCUGUUUUUCUUUCCAAUAUUAUACUCCGAACGAUUGUUGUACUUUAUUAUUUCAUAGAAGCUGCUCAUGCACUUGUGACACCGGGUUUUGUGAUGAUUUUGGAACAUUUUGUAUUUAUUUAUUAUUAUAUAAUUGAAAUUGAAACAAUUAUCUUUUUAUUUAUGAAAAAAAUUGAAG